UACGUAGGUGGCGAGCGUUGUCCGGAUUUACUGGGCGUAAAGAGCGCGCAGGCGGUCGUUCAAGUCGCGUGUGAAAGCCCCCGGCUCAACUGGGGAGGGUCACGCGAUACUGAUCGACUCGAAGGCAGGAGAGGGAAGUGGAAUUCCCGGUGUAGUGGUGAAAUGCGCAGAUAUCGGGAGGAACACCGGUGGCGAAGGCGGUUCUCUGGGCCUUACCUGACGCUGAGGAGCGAAAGCGUGGGGAGCGAACAGG
rnacentral:rRNA from 1 species